rnacentral:rRNA from 1 species
CCUACGGGGGGCAGCAGUGGGGAAUAUUGCGCAAUGGGCGAAAGCCUGACGCAGCGACGCCGCGUGAGGGAUGAAGGUCUUCGGAUCGUAAACCUCUGUCGGCAGUGAAGAAAGGUAAAUGUGCUAAUCAGCAGUGAUUUGACGGUACCUGCAAAGGAAGCACCGGCUAACUCCGUGCCAGCAGCCGCGGUAAUACGGAGGGUGCGAGCGUUAAUCGGAUUUACUGGGCGUAAAGCGCUCGCAGGCGGUAUGUCAAGUCAAGUGUGAAAUCCCCGGGCUCAACGGGGGAACUGCCUUAGAAACUGUCAAACUGGAGUGUGUGAGAGGAGAGUGGAAUUCCAGGUGUAGGAGUGAAAUCCGUAGAUAUCUGGAGGAACAUCAGUGGCGAAGGCGACUAUCUGGCACAUAACUGACGCUGAGGAGCGAAAGCGUGGGUAGCAAACAGGAUUAGAUACCCGGGUAGUC